UUUAUUGGAGAGUUUGAUCCUGGCUCAGGAUGAACGCUGGCGGCGUGCCUAAUACAUGCAAGUCGAGCGAAUGGAUUAAGAGCUUGCUCUUAUGAAGUUAGCGGCGGACGGGUGAGUAACACGUGGGUAACCUGCCCAUAAGACUGGGAUAACUCCGGGAAACCGGGGCUAAUACCGGAUAACAUUUUGAACCGCAUGGUUCGAAAUUGAAAGGCGGCUUCGGCUGUCACUUAUGGAUGGACCCGCGUCGCAUUAGCUAGUUGGUGAGGUAACGGC
rnacentral:rRNA from 1 species